GACGAACGCUGGCGGCGUGCUUAACACAUGCAAGUCGAACGGAAAGGCCCUGCUUUUGUGGGGUUCUCGCGUGGCGAACGGGUGAGUAACACGUGAGUAACCUGCCCUUGACUUUGGGAUAACUUCAGGAAACUGGGGCUAAUACCGGAUAGGAGCUCCUGCUGCAUGGUGGGGGUUGGACAGUUUCGGCGGUAGGGGAUGGACUCGGGGCUUAUCAGCUUGUUGGUGGGGUAGUGGCUUACCAAGGCUUUGACGGGUAGCCGGCAUGGGAGGGUGAACAGCGACAUUGCGACUGAGAGACGGCGCAGAGGGGUACGUGAGGCAGUAGUGGGGAAUAUGGCACAAUGGGCGGAAGUGUGAGGCAGAAACGCCGCGUGCGGGAUGACGGCCUUCGGGGGGUAAACCGCUGUAGGCUGAGACGAAGCGGGAGUGACGGUAAUGGGUAAAGAAGCACCGGCUAACUACGUG
rnacentral:rRNA from 1 species